ACACUAGAGCACAUGAGAAUCUGCCCACAAAAGCACACGUGUGCAUCCAUUCAGCCGUCGCAUCCUCCGCAGCACGAUGUUUGCGAGUGCGUGAGCUCAUUCAAAGAGGGUAACUUGUGUCUUUAGGUGUCUAAAUCUGCUGCCCCCCCCCAACAUACACGCACAUCAGCGACUCCUCCCACUCCUCCGAACCCCACAUCCACCCACGUCGACAGCAGGACGGCGAAUCCAUUCAGCGCUCAAACCAGAGCUUCGCCCCUGACGUGGACACAAGCAGGCGAAGACGCUGCUUUUGGUUCUCAUGUGGCUUGAAGGAUUAUAAUGCAGUGAUUUUUUACAGGAAACAGCCCUACCGAAGGUUUCUGUAGGAGACCAAGCACUUUCAGUGGGUGUCUGUCUUGCGUGUGUGUGCGUACCGGUUGUUUUUUCUGAGCCGUUGGACUGACGCACGAAUACUGCAGCAGAACUGCAGGGGCCUGGACGCUAACUUGGAGGACAUGAGGACCCAGUGGAUCCCCCACCCCUGAGCUCCAGACCCCACUGCUGCUGCACAUUCUGCUGAGCUGAGUAGAGCUCCCAGAGGCCAAUAGGAUGCUGACAGCUCGCGAUGGAGCUCGAGAUGAAGCUCAGAAGCUGCACAGGAAAUGGAUGAAGCACCAGGCCUUCAUGGCCGAACUGGCCCGUAACAAAGAAUGGCUCGCCAAGAUCGAACAGGAGGGCGAGGAGAGCUGAUCCAGGAAACAGCCCGAGAGUUGCGAUCAGGGUG